CUAGCCCAUUUUAUCUGUCUUUUUCCUCCUCUCGUUCGUUUCUCGAAACAAAGAGUUAUCUGCCAUGGUUGCCUUUCCCCUAAAAUCAAAAGCUGUUUCAAGUUCAUGUAACUGCCAUGAAUAGUUUGCUUUGGGUUUGAGUUCCAAAAUCGAGCAGUAGUUCUUUGAAAUCAAAUGAUUCAUAGAUCUCGUUCAAGGGAUAGAUCUGAGCACAGAUCAAGGUGUGAAGAAAGAUCAUAGUGGCGUGUUGUUUGGACAGUAAAUGUUCGUUGACUUGUAUGAUUUGUCGUAACGGGUUUCUUUGGUUGUAUUGGUGGUGAGGAGUAUGCUGCUGGGGAGGCUUUGCUACGAUUGUAUCCAUUUGGUAGCCUAACUAUAGAUUGUUCUCUCUUUAGAAUUCGCUUCCCUUUUGCUUUUGUGUUUGAAAUAGAAAGGAAAAGAUGUGAUUAUUAAUUUGGUCUAAAAUUAUGUCUAAUGCGUCUUGCUACUCAUUUAAUUGAUGUCUAAUAGAGCUUUGUGCUUGUUUGACUAA